UACGAAGGGGGCUAGCGUUGCUCGGAAUGACUGGGCGUAAAGGGCGCGUAGGCGGUUUGCACAGUCAGGUGUGAAAUUCCUGGGCUUAACCUGGGGGCUGCGCUUGAUACGUGUGGACUGGAGUGCGGAAGAGGGUCGUGGAAUUCCCAGUGUAGAGGUGAAAUUCGUAGAUAUUGGGAAGAACACCGGUGGCGAAGGCGGCGCUCUGGACCGAGACUGACGCUGAGGCGCGAAAGCGUGGGGAGCGAACAGG
rnacentral:rRNA from 1 species